UAGUCUCGCACAGAUGCAUAUCAAUAAGCGGAGGAAAAGAAACUAACAAGGAUUCCCCUAGUAACGGCGAGUGAAGCGGGAAGAGCUCAAAUUUGAAAUCUUAAAGGGUUUCCCUUUACGAAUUGUAGUUUAAAGAAGUGUUUUCUGUUGAGGUUUUGGUAAAAGUUCUUUGGAAUAGGACAUCAUAGAGGGUGAGAAUCCCGUAUUUGACCUUUACUUUCAACUUUGUGAUACACUUUCAAAGAGUCGGAUUGUUUGGGAAUGCAGUCCAAAAUGGGUGGUAAAUUUCAUCUAAAGCUAAAUAUUGGCGAGAGACCGAUAGCGAACAAGUACCGUGAGGGAAAGAUGAAAAGAACUUUGAAAAGAGAGUUAAACAGUACGUGAAAUUGUCAAAAGGGAAGCGUUUGACACCAGUGUUGUUUUUCUGAAAAUCAAUUAAAGAACUGUUUAUGCUAAGCUGUUUAGACUUUAUCAGCUAUCUGUUUAGUUUUGAGCUUUUCUUUAAUGCACUUUUCAGUUAACAAGUCAACAUCAAUUUCUUUUGCUGUAAAAAAGCUUGAGGAAGGUGGCUUGAGAUUCGUCUUAAGUGUUUAUAGCCUCUUGCCUAUGCAGUCGGAGAGAUUGAGGUCUGCAGCGUAGAUCCUUCGGGGCUAAAUGCAUUUGUGCUAAGUUAUAGCAUUUUAUAGACAACUUGUUGACUAUGAUUUGUCUUGUAGCUUACUCGCUUAUGUUAUUUUACCUACGCUUAGGAUGUUGACGCAUGAGAUAUACGC
rnacentral:rRNA from 1 species